UACGUAGGGUGCAAGCGUUAUCCGGAUUUACUGGGUUUAAAGGGUGCGUAGGUGGGUCUGUAAGUCAGUGGUGAAAUCUCCGAGCUUAACUCGGAAACUGCCAUUGAUACUAUAGGUCUUGAAUUAUCUGGAGGUAAGCGGAAUAUGUCAUGUAGCGGUGAAAUGCUUAGAUAUGACAUAGAACACCAAUUGCGAAGGCAGCUUACUACGGAUAUAUUGACACUGAGGCACGAAAGCGUGGGGAUCAAACAGG
rnacentral:rRNA from 1 species